UUUACACUUGAGAACCGUCCCAGAGCUGGCAGGCAAGGGGUUGUGUUGCUGCUGGCCCCGCUGGCGUGAGUUUGGUGUCUCUAUUUACCUUUUUGUGGCUGUCAGGAUAUUUUUCUGAGCUACGCAGCAAGAUCUGUGUGUCAGAUAACCCCUCCAUGGGCAACACAGGACCCUGUAUGGAACUCCUGUUUGGAACCCAACACGAGAGUCUGAGGAAAGCUGAGGCUUCAGGCUCUGGCCAGAUGUUCCCACAUCCAAAAGGAGAUGCUGAGCUAUUCGGGACCUUUACCCAAAUGUCCUCGUCUGCCUUCGUGAGCCCCUCCCUCCUGCUCCCACGGCCACCCCACCCUCAGGCAGCCACUGAGCCA